rnacentral:lncRNA from 1 species
AGUUAAAGAGUGGGGUUUAGGAUUUAGGGUUUAGGGUUUAGAGUUUAGGGUUUAGGGUUUAGGGUUUAGGGUUUAGGGUUUAGCGUUUAGGGUUUAGGGUUUAGCGUUUAGGGUUUAGGGUUCGCGUCUGGUAUAGUGUGUUUUGACUUUUUUUGUGUUUGUUUUAAAUGAUUUGAUCUCAAUUGAGGUAAUUUAAUAGAUUUUAUAAAAUCCAAUGAUAAUCUAGGAUCUGUUUAUUAU